rnacentral:rRNA from 1 species
CAGUAGCCGCGGUAAUACGGAGGGGGCUAGCGUUGUUCGGAAUUACUGGGCGUAAAGCGCACGUAGGCGGCUUGGUAAGUUAGAGGUGAAAGCCCAGGGCUCAACCCUGGAAUUGCCUUUAAGACUGCCGAGCUAGUAGGUGAGAGAGGUAAGUGGAAUUCCGAGUGUAGCGGUGAAAUUCGUAGAUAUUCGGAAGAACACCAGUGGCGAAGGCGGCUUACUGGCUCAUACUGGACGCUGAGGUGCGAAAGCGUGGGGAGCAAACAGGAUUAGAUACCCCAGUAGUCCCUGUCUCUUAUAC